UGAAAUAAGGAGGUGUUUUGAUUGG
rnacentral:piRNA from 1 species